rfam:Phlebotomus papatasi Contig4376.1, whole genome shotgun sequence.
ACAAAGGCCCUUUUCAGGGCCACUAAACAACAUUAUUUCGAUUAAU